rnacentral:rRNA from 1 species
ACUCCUACGGGAGGCAGCAGUGGGGAAUAUUGCACAAUGGGCGCAAGCCUGAUGCAGCCAUGCCGCGUGUAUGAAGAAGGCCUUCGGGUUGUAAAGUACUUUCAGCAGUGAGGAAGGCGGAGUCGUUAAUAGCGGCCUCGUUUGACGUUAGCUGCAGAAGAAGCACCGGCUAACUCCGUGCCAGCAGCCGCGGUAAUACGGAGGGUGCGAGCGUUAAUCGGAAUUACUGGGCGUAAAGCGCAUGCAGGUGGUUUGUUAAGUCAGAUGUGAAAGCCCGGGGCUCAACCUCGGAAUUGCAUUUGAAACUGGCAGACUAGAGUACUGUAGAGGGGGGUAGAAUUUCAGGUGUAGCGGUGAAAUGCGUAGAGAUCUGAAGGAAUACCGGUGGCGAAGGCGGCCCCCUGGACAGAUACUGACACUCAGAUGCGAAAGCGUGGGAGCAAACAGGAUUAGA